AAAUAAGAAACAAACUAUUGUAGUUAGUUUCGACCUAACCCUCUGAUGAACGAAUCAUCCUUAUUUA
rnacentral:tRNA from 1 species